ensembl:lncRNA
UUCCCUCCUCUUAAAUUGUUUAAAAUGUGAGUGACUGUUGAAGGCAAGAUUAUGACAUCUUCCGGGUUUAUUAACUCGAGCCGGGAUACACAUGACAACCGGAAUGUAGCGGGGGAGGGGAAAGGAAACCUAUGGCUGGGAGGCUUCUGCGAUUAACUGGAGGUGAUAAACAUUACCUGAAAGCAGGUGUGAGAUGUUAGAUAAGAGCAUUGUAAUCCCCGGAGCAACUGCUGAUAGAAUAACGCAAAAAGAGGUACCUUGAAGGUCAGCAACCGCAGUGGCUAAGGCUUGAUUCUUGCAGAACUGGAGGGAAGCGAUGUAUUGACUUUGCACAUAAAGUUCACCAAAGCUGCCUGCAGGUUCAAGGCCUGCAGGUGGACGGGCUGUGGGCUCAGCUCUGGCCCACGUGUCUCUCCUCUCCGUGGAUCAGUGUCCACCCAGGGCGGGUUCUUCUGAUGGUGGAUGGUUGGAGCUCAAGAGGUGAAGACAGAACGCUCAGGCACAUCUGAGGUCUCUGCCGUCGUCCUGUCCCUCAAACCUGCCACGUGGACGAGCCAGGGUGGACGGAGUGGGGUAUGCACGGCCCCGCCUUGAUGGGGAGUGGCGAGGUGAAGACCCAGCCUCGAAGGGGACAGACGGCUUGCUCAAGGUCGCCCGGACGGUGAGGGGACAUCUGGGGCUGGGAGCAGGCUGGCCCCGGCCUGCUGAUGGACGAGCCGAGGCCCCGGGGCCCCAGGAGGGUCGAGUCAUUCUCUGGAAUCCCUGGAGUCAGGUUCUGUUUCUCCUUUUUCCAUCUGUUGGCUCCAGCAGCUUUGGCCAUAUGGUGACGUCAACUCCUGGGCAGGUUCAUUUUCUUCUCAGGAAGGGGUGCUAAGAUGCCGGGUGUUGCAAACCACAGAGGCAAAGGGGAGGGAGACACCUGGGGCAAUGCUGCGGGGACACAGAAGCUCAGAGGAGGGGCAUGCUGGGUAUCUCGGUGGGCACGUGGCAUGCCAAAAAGAAGUGACAUCCAAGCACUUCCCUAAGACUCUGCGCGUCCACUGUAGGGGCAAGGGUUUGAUCCUGCAUGCCGCCAUGUGGCAUGAUUGAAAAAAAACAAAACCCUGUUGAUUCAGAGACAUCUAGGAUGGGAUGGUGAAGCAGGACUCUACUCUGACUGAACUAAGGACCCAGGCUCACGAAUCUUUAUCCAGAGUUCUUUUCACUAGACACUGGUGUGAUCUGCAGGACCAGGACUCAGAGAACCCCAAGCGCCUGUGUAGAGUGAGACCCCCUUCCCUGCAAAGGAGCAGCCCACUUGUCAGCCACUCUCUUAAUUUAAUAGAAAACCGCGGCCCUUCUCACUGCCCAGCGCUGGCAGCCCCAGGGUGCCAUCAUCCCGAGUACAUUUUUCAUACCUUUGAAUCCACCUUCCAGGACUCUGGAAG